ensembl:lncRNA
AUGAUGGGAAUAUCCGGGACACUCCACUUCUGUUCGAGCUCUGCAUCCAAGAAACCCAGACGAAAAAAGCCCAACACAUUUGGAAAGCGUUCAGGAAACCAACGCCGUCCAAAUGUGAUCUAUCUUUGUUACAUGAACCCCACUUCUCUGCGCGGUGAGUGUUCCCAGGGCUGCCGUUUCUUAUCCAGGUUUGGCUCCGUUCGGAAGGAGGUUUUCGGAGGGAUAGAAGCACCGUAUAUUUACACUGAAGUGCACAGGUUUGGCAGCGAUGGAGGGAAAAGGUUUCAAUGCCCUGACAGCCAAACUUUUCAUCAACUGAAGAUACUAUUCGAGUAUAAGCCUAGUUUUUCAGCCCUUUUUUUAGGACUAAAAAAGCCCCCCUCGGAUUAUACUCAGGUGAGGGUCCUGGUUGGCUUAUAUUUGGGUCAGCUUAUACUCGAGAAUAUAUGGUACAUUUAUUAUUUUUCUCUAUUAAUAUUGGUAUUAUUACAUUUAUUAUUUUUCUCUAUUAUAGGUAUUAUUACAUUUAUUAUUUUUCUCUAUUAUUAUUGGCAUUGUUACAUUUAUUAUUUUUCUCUAUUAUUGGUAUUAUUACUAUUAUUAUUGGUAUUAUUACAUUUAUUAUUUUUCUCUAUUAUUAUUGGUAUUAUUACAUUUAUUAUUUUUCUCUAUUAUUAUUGGCAUUGUUACAUUUUUUAUUUUUCUCUAUUAUUAUUGGUAUUAUUACAUUUAUUAUUUUUCUCUACUAUUGUUGCUAAUAUUAAUCAUAGAAUUUCCUCCUUCUUCUGCAUCUUCUUUUGCUCUUCUUCAUCUUCUUCCUUAUCUUCCCCUUCAUCAUCAUCUUUUCCUUCUAUUUUUGCAUCUUCUUUUGCUCUUCUUCAUCUUCUUUCUUAUUGUUAUCUUCACCUUCAUCAUCAUCUUUUCCUUCUUCUGCAUCUUCUUUUGCUCUUCUUCACCUUCUUCCUUAUCCUUAUCUUCACCUUCAUCAUAUUCUUUUCCUUCUCCUUUUGCAGCUUCUUCUUUUGCUCUUCUUCCACCUUCUUCCUUAUCAUCAUCUUCACCUUCAUCAUCAUCUUUUCCGUCUUUUUCUGCAUCUUCUUUUGCACUUCUUCACUUUCUUCCUUAUCAUCUUCACCUUUACCAUCAUCUUUUCCUUCUCCUUUUGCAGCUUCUUCUUUUGCUCUUCUUCACCUUCUUCCUUAUCAUCAUCUUCACCUUCAUCAUCAUCUUUUCCGUCUUUUUCUGCAUCUUCUUUUGCACUUCUUCACUUUCUUCCUUAUCAUCUUCACCUUUACCAUCAUCUUUUCCUUCUAUUUUUGCAGCUUCCUCUUUUGCUCUUCUUCAUCUUCUUCCCUAUCAUCAUCUUCACCAUCAUCUUUUCCUCCUUCUUCUGCAUCUUCUUUUGCUCUUCAUCUUCUUCCUUAUCAUCAUCUCCACCUUCAUCAUCUUCUUUUCCUUCUCCUUCUGCUGCUUCUUCUUCUGCAUCUUCUUUUGCUCUUCUUCAUCUUCUUCCUUAUCUUCACCUUCAUAUCUUCUUUUCCUUCUCCUUCUGCAUCAUCUUUUGCUCUUCUUCAUCUUCUUCCUUUUCAUCUUCACCUUCAUCAUCAUCUUUUCUUUCAACUUUUGCAGCUUCUUCUUUUGCUCUUCUUCCUUAUUUUCACCUUCAUCAUCUUCUUUUCCUUCUCCUUCUGCAUCUUCUUUUGCACUUCUUCAACUUCUUCCUUAUCAUCAUCUUCACCAUCUUUUCCUUCUACUUUUGCAGCUUCUUCUUUUGCUCUUAUUCGCCUUCUUCCUUAUCGUAAUCUUCACCUUCAUCAUGAUUUGUCGCCUUUACCCCCUUCUUCUUUUGCUCUUCUUCACCUUCUUCCUUGUCUUCUGUUAAAUCAA